rnacentral:rRNA from 1 species
AAACCGUUCGGGGGUAAACGGACAGAGCCCGUGAAUCCGGGCGACGGAAUUCAGAAUCGACGGCGUUCGCGCGUCGUCGGUUCGAUAUUUCCGUCGCCGACCAUUACACGGACGUCGCGACCCGUUCGGUGUCGGUCUGCAGGAGACGCNCGAAAGUUCGUGUGCGUCUGACGGGUUCGCUCGUCGGGCGUUUCGCGAGUGCGCGUUUUUUUUCUGGCCGACUCGCCGGACGGUAUGCGAAGCGGUGAUCGCGGCGGCCUCUCGUCAGCGCCGUCGCGUUACCGGUCUGCGACGAAUCUUCGGGCCUCUUUCCGA